UUAUGAUAAUUGUACAUGUUUACUAACAUUACUACCAUGUUUACAUUAUUAAUAUCUGAUAAGAGAAGCAAUUUUCUGUUAUGGACAAUCGUCUAACAGCGCUUAAUUGAGCAACAUGAAAACAUCUUACGCACUUCUUUUUUUGGGAGCACUGCUGGUGAUGCAGUGUAUGAUCACAGUCCUCGCUGAGGCUGUAGAGUCAGGACCUGCACCUGACGCCGUUCCCGUCGCUGCUGCCGAUGAGGAGGAUGGUGGUCUUCUAGGAGGAUUCCUUAUCCCUGGACUUCUAUAAGCGUCAAUUGACGAAUGCAUCCCACAGUCAUAUUUGAAAAAAAUAAUUUAGUUUCAUUAAUAUAACAUUUAAGUGAAUAAAAUACGGUAGCAAUUAUUGCCUAAA